CUCUCAAAUGGAAUGAUUAAUUAAGGGGGAGAAAGAAAAUUUCAGAGUGAGAGAUCAUAUAGAACUUAAUCGUAUAAAUUUGCAUCUAAAGAUGAGACAAAGAAUACUAAAUGUAAAAUGGUAUUAAACUUUGUGCUUCAUUGAAUAUCUUUUGAAAGUUGGAUUUCCAUUUGUAUUCAUCGGUAAAUUAUUUAUUUCUGAAAAUUUAAUUGAAAAGGAUUCCAUCUGUCUUAGUUUCGAAAAUUUAUCUUGGAAUCUACUUAUGAGUUCUUAUUGGCUUGCACUUUAGUGUUUCAAUCCUGAGCCAAUUCAUUUUAACUGAUUUUGAUGCUAUGAUCUUUAAAGGAGUAAAAGAACGUUUUUAAGAGAGCUCUAAAAGAACUUUCAAAGCCCUAAAUUUUAUGUAUCCUACAUUGCAUAAAUUCAUAUCUUGGUAUCUAUGCUCCAAUACUUUUAUAUCAUGAAAGAACUUUGAAGUCAUUAAGAACUAAGGAUUCAACAUAAUCUUAUGUUUUUCGAGUAUAUAAGUUUUGAUCUUUAUCUGCUCUUAUACUAUACUCUAAAAAUUAAUUAGAUUGCUCUCAUGUGGCUAUAUACUUAAUA
rnacentral:lncRNA from 1 species